GCCGUUAAAACAAACAUUGUAUCCAUUUUCCUUUCGCAGAUAUAGCAAAUUUAAUUCGGGAGCUGUGACGUCAUUCUCCACCCCAUUUCUUCUGAAUCGCACACAAAAUGUGUCUUUCGUUUGUGCUUGGUUUGUGCUGAUUUGUGCCGUUAAAAUUAACAUGGUAUCUAUAUCCCCUCCUUUAGAAAUAUCAAAUAUAAUUCGGGGCAGUGACGUCACUCUCCACCCCACCUCGUCUAAAUCGCACCAAACCGGUGUCGUUUGUUUGUGCUCGAUUUGUGCCGGUUUGUGCCAUUGAAAGAAACAUUGCAACUACGAUCCCCUCUUAAACAUAUUUAAAAAAAAAAACUUUUUAAGCAGUUACAUAACUCUCCACCCCAUUUGUUCUAAAUCGUUGCAAAACUGUGACGUUUGUUUGUGCUCAAUUUGUGCCGGUUUGUGCCGUUACGAUGAACAUUGUGUAUUUUUCCCCUCCUUAGAAAUAAAACAUUGGAUUCGGGACAGUGACGUCACUCUCCACCCCACCUCGUCUAAAUCGCCCCAAAACGGUGCCUUUUGUUUGUGCUCGAUUUGUGCUGUUUUGUGCCGUAGAAAGAACCAUAAUAAAUUAUACAAUUCUUCAGAUAUCCCAAAAUCUUUGGAGGAGUACUGAUGAGUGACGUCACGAAAGCAAGCCGCGCUCUCCAUCUCGUCUACAAACCUGUCUGGUGCGUUUGUGCUCGCACAGGGCCGCGGCUGCUGUCAUUGUUCCUUUCUUCCUCUUUAGAUACGGAGACUUCGUCAAGCUCAAGAUAAAAAAAAAAACGGUCAUCAUAUUUCUCCCAGGCAAAAGAGUUUCUCCUACAGUAAGCCACGUAAUGUCCAAGAGAUUUCCUGGUUGGUCCUGGAAUGAAUGCAACAACCCCUCGCAAAGUGAACCGCUGAUUGUCUAGCUCCAUGUCGACAGGGAUUUCAGACAGUGGAUGCUAUCUGGACACUCUUGGGGGGAUUUCAGUGGCUUCAGACACUUGGACCUGUUGAGAUGUAGCCCAUCUUCCAGUGCUGCUUGGAGGCUUUUCAGUCCACCAGUUUGUAGAAUAUCUACAUUGACUGGUAGGAGAUAGAUGGUUCUUGAAGAUUUGGUAUUUCGGCUGCAGUAUGGAGAAGAGCACUCAGCUAUUUUGAGUGCUCUUUGUCGAGAUAAUGACAGAAUGAUCCGCUGUCACAGAAUGCCGAGCAAAGGCACUGGCAAAAGGAAUCAAAGGCACAGGUUUAUGUCUGCAUGCAACCACUCAGAGCAAGGGGUCAGGUAGGACAGUCGCUUUUUUGGAGGAACACCGAGACCUUUCCAGUUUUCAACAGGGUCUUCCUCCACUAAUUGUUGCCUAACUUCUGUGUCCUGCUCACUGUGGGCACUUUUUGUCUUCUGAUUCUUUGUCUCAAUGUGCUCUGUGUUCACCGGUGCAGAUGAAAUCCUCAUGUUUCCCUCAAGAAACUCAAGGUGGCGUAUGACAAAACGGUCAAGUCGGAUGGGGAGGCUUUCAUGUUUGAAAAGGCCAUGUUUUAUGUUUUUAAAUUCAGCCUCAACAUUUGCAGAGCUUGCUGUGUUGUGUACGCUUUUGAAGUGUGGAACCAUCACAGCUGUCCAAAGGGAUUUCUGUAACCCAUGUUUUCAGAUCUGUGGGGAGUGUCUCCUCGACUCCCGUCACCUCUGUUGAAUGAUCAUCUUCAGUGACACAUGGCAAGACUCCCUCUGCAAAUCGUCUCUUUAAUUGUGCUUUGCAUGUUUCCGAGGCAACAGGCAUUCCCACCGGCUAAUGAGCUUGAUGCAGUGUGCAACAUCUACUCUGAUGAAGCAAGGUGGUAGCUUUGAGUCUUCGGGUUUCCUUGCCAGCACUCCAAAGCACUGAUUGAUGUAUGUUUUCAGGUCUGGGUAAGGAGUGAAGGCUUUAACCAGUGCUCCAAGCAAAGCCAAGGAGAAAUCACAGACCGCCUCUUUGGGCACAGCAGCACCUGCUCGUUGCCAUUCCGUGAGCCAGUUGGCAAUAGAAUUGAUGGUGUGGCUCUCUGAUAGCAUUUGCACUACUGGAAUAUGAUCUCCCUGUGAACACAAAACUCCUUGAUACAGGAAGACAUGUCCAGAAUUGCCACAGGGUCUUCUCAGUCUUUUCACAACUGUACCUGUUGCAUCAAAACUCACAAAUGAGCCAGAGUACUUGGAUUUCAUUUGAUACACUUGCAUCUGAGAUGGGGUCCAAUAAUGGCAAAAAAACCUGUCAAGGCCUAUGUCAUGAAUGCUUCCGUUGUGGGGUACACUGUAUUUUAGUAGAUGCAAUGACAUGAUUGGGUCUUUGUCUCCAAGUUCUUUGUCACCCAUCUCUUGUUUGGCUUUUCUUAAUGUUGCCAGAUUUGGCAGGUGGCUAGGCUCUGGGUCACCAACAUCCAUCAUUUUGUAAGCCUCAGCUGCUCGCCAUACAUGUGCUGGUUUUCGGCCUUCCCAGAGUUCUUUAGAGACACGUGUUCUCAGAUCCCCUGAUAACUUCCGUUUUGCUUUGCCAGUAUGGAGACUUUCAUCAACAUUACGGAUUAUGCAUUGAAGCACAACUGGUUCAUUGUCCACUGGCAUGUUCUCUGCUGUUAUAGACAAUUGUGCGUCACACUCGGUGCAGUUCCCAAUUAUGUCUAUGUAGUGAGAUGCAUUAUUUGGAUACAUUUUUGCCCUUCUGAAUCUAAGAGUGCAUGAGGUCUUGAUAUUUUUCCAUAUCUCUUCAUACAAGACGUGUGUCCAUGCACCACGUUUCAGGAUGGUGUAUUCUCUUUUGUCAUUGUAAUCAACCUUUUCAGGCCAGAUUUCCACCCAUCUCUGAUGAGAGAGACUGAUCUCAAAUGUAAUGUCGUAGCAUUGACUUUUGUCUGCCUUUGACACUGCUGAAUGAAAAUCUGCUGAGCUUUCUUGUGAGUUGUCACUGUUUGGACCUUGAUCUUGGGUAUCUGUGUCGAUUUUGCUUAGCUCAAGGAUUUGCCAUAUAUUGUGCCUAUUUGUCUUCACAAUAGUAUAAAGGUUCUUUGGUGAAACUUUGUUAUUUAGUUGUUUGCUUAAAUCUGCCCACACCUUUUCUGUGGGAACUGCUAUGUUUGUUCCUGUAAUAAUCUGUUCCUUUGCAGCACUGAUGACUUUGAUGAUGUCAUCACGUCCACAGGCUGGUUUCCUAGGCAUCUGAUCAAAACAGGAAUUAUGUUUAAUGUAGUUUUUAAUAAAGUAGUUGGGCCAAAUUAA